UAGCUCAACGGUAGAGCGGCCGGCUGUUAACCGGUAGGUUACAGGUUCGAAUCCUG
rnacentral:tRNA from 1 species